AUUGACCAGAAUCAUAUCUAUUUAUAGAAAUAGAACUAGUUUCAUUAAACUCUACACUAUCCUUAUUUAUCCUAUCUUCAUCUAAUUUCUUAUUCUGUUCUUCACUAGAUAUUGUUUCAGUAGAUAUUUGAAUACUACUAUAAAUCUGGUUAUCAAUCUUAUUUUGUUUCGUUCUUUUUAUGUCAUCUUCCAACUCUAUUUCGUUCUGAGUUGAACUUGAUGUAGUGUUUUGUUUAUUUGUGACAAUAAAUCUAUCUAAAGCAUCUUUUUGAGAUUGAAUGAGUUUUUCGAUUUUUCUUUUCUUUUUGAGUUUUUCAUACCCACAUUCAAAUUUUCUAUUAGACAUUUGAAUCCAAAAAUAAUAUUAUCAAACCAAACAAUUAAGACAAUCACUACAAACAAAUCAAAAUAGAAUAGAGUUGAAAAUGAUAAAACCCGAAAUGCCAAUAGAAGCGGUGCCGGACUCGACGACGAACU
rnacentral:lncRNA from 1 species